rnacentral:rRNA from 1 species
AUUGAACGCUGGCGGCAGGCCUAACACAUGCAAGUCGAACGGUAACAGGAAGAAGCUUGCUUCUUUGCUGACGAGUGGCGGACGGGUGAGUAAUGUCUGGGAAACUGCCUGAUGGAGGGGGAUAACUACUGGAAACGGUAGUUAAUACCGCAUAACGUCGCAAGACCAAAGAGGGGGACCUUCGGGCCUCUUGCCAUCGGAUGUGCCCAGAUGGGAUUAGCUAGUAGGUGGGGUAACGGCUCGCCUAGGCGACGAUCCCUAGCUGGUCUGAGAGGAUGACCAGCCACACUGGAACUGAGACACGGUCCAGACUCCUACGGGAGGCAGCAGUGGGGAAUAUUGCACAAUGGGCGCAAGCCUGAUGCAGCCAUGCCGCGUGUAUGAAGAAGGCCUUCGGGUUGUAAAGUACUUUCAGCGGGGAGGAAGGGAGUAAAGUUAAUACCUUUGCUCAUUGACGUUACCCGCAGAAGAAGCACCGGCUAACUCCGUG